UACGGGGGGGGCAAGCGUUGUUCGGAAUUACUGGGCGUAAAGGGCGCGUAGGCGGCCUACUAAGUCGGACGUGAAAUCCCUCGGCUCAACCGAGGAACUGCGUCCGAUACUGGCAGGCUGGAAUCCGGGAGAGGGAUGUGGAAUUCCAGGUGUAGCGGUGAAAUGCGUAGAUAUCUGGAGGAACACCGGUGGCAAAGGCGGCAUCCUGGACCGGUAUUGACGCUGAGGCGCGAAAGCUAGGGGAGCAAACGGG
rnacentral:rRNA from 1 species